rnacentral:rRNA from 1 species
UACGGGAGGCAGCAGUGGGGAAUAUUGCACAAUGGGCGCAAGCCUGAUGCAGCCAUGCCGCGUGUAUGAAGAAGGCCUUCGGGUUGUAAAGUACUUUCAGCGGGGAGGAAGGCGAUGCGGUUAAUAACCGCGUCGAUUGACGUUACCCGCAGAAGAAGCACCGGCUAACUCCGUGCCAGCAGCCGCGGUAAUACGGAGGGUGCAAGCGUUAAUCGGAAUUACUGGGCGUAAAGCGCACGCAGGCGGUCUGUUAAGUCAGAUGUGAAAUCCCCGGGCUUAACCUGGGAACUGCAUUUUGAACUGGCAGGCUUGAGUCUUGUAGAGGGGGUAGAAUUCCAGGUGUAGCGGUGAAAUGCGUAGAGAUCUGGAGGAAUACCGGUGGCGAAGGCGGCCCCUGGGACAAAGCUGACGCUCAGGUGCGAAAGCGUGGGGAGCAAACGAGGAUUAGGAUACC